rnacentral:rRNA from 1 species
UACGUAGGGGGCAAGCGUUGUCCGGAAUUAUUGGGCGUAAAGAGCGUGUAGGCGGUCCGGUAAGUCAGCUGUGAAAGUCAAGGGCUCAACCCUUGAAUGCCGGUUGAUACUGUCGGGCUGGAGUCCGGAAGAGGCGAGUGGAAUUCCCGGUGUAGCGGUGAAAUGCGCAGAUAUCGGGAGGAACACCAAUGGCGAAGGCAGCUCGCUGGGACGGUACUGACGCUGAGACGCGAAAGCGUGGGGAGCAAACAGG